UGAUGAAUGCAUAUGAUUUAGUCACAUCGC
rnacentral:piRNA from 1 species